GAAGAAGGGCAGGACUGGCAACUCAGCGUUUCAGUUAUGAAAAAGAGUUCAGUUCACAUUCGGACACUACUGCAUUGAAGAACAUUCACCUGGGAACUUUCAUCCAGCCCUCCAGCCGCACAUUUGAUGCUGGAUCCUUUAGCUGUAGGCCAGGAGUAGAAGAUUCCUUCCUGUGGCUGGAGGGCGGAGCUAGCAGGCUGAUAGGAUUUGGCUGGUGCUCUGGGGAACGAACAAUUGCAGACAUGAUGAUCUGGUG